UUACAGCACUAUGGGAUCUCUGCUAUUCUAAUGUACUUACAUCACUAUGGGAUCUGUGCUGUUCUAAUGUACUUACAUCACUAUGGGAUCUGUGCUAUUCUAAUAUACUUACAGCACUAUGGGAGGUAUAUCUGUGCUAUCAUAAUUACAGUAGGAGUUAUGUCCUUAUGUAGUUACAUUGAGAGUUAUAACUCCCAAUGCAGUUGAAGUGUAUAUCUGUGCUAUUCUAAUGCUAUCCAGAUGUGUGGCUGUUGUGACAGUGUUGUGGUGAUGCUGGUCAAAAUGUUAUCAGUCAGUUUAAAUACCACAUGGGACACCAAACAGGUUUUCUUCCAAAGCUUUAUUUGCACUCUUUCAGAUUAGCAGGGAAGUGAGCAGAUAGGAGAAUAGGAGCGAACAUAAAAAUGCAGGACAGUCUACACCACACCAGGACAGUACACCACACACAGGACAUACACCACACACAGGACAGUCUACACCACACCAGGACAGUACACCACACACAGGACAGUCUACACCACACCAGGACAGUACACCACACACAGGACAGUCUACACCACACCAGGACAGUACACCACACACAGGACAGUCUAUAC